rnacentral:rRNA from 2 species
UGCUAUACAUGCAGUCGAACGAGUUCUGAUUAUUGAAAGGUGCUUGCAUCUUGAUUUAAUUUUGAACGAGUGGCGGACGGGUGAGUAACACGUGGGUAACCUGCCCUUAAGUGGGGGAUAACAUUUGGAAACAGAUGCUAAUACCGCAUAAAUCCAAGAACCGCAUGGUUCUUGGCUGAAAGAUGGCGUAAGCUAUCGCUUUUGGAUGGACCCGCGGCGUAUUAGCUAGUUGGUGAGGUAACGGCUCACCAAGGCAAUGAUACGUAGCCGAACUGAGAGGUUGAUCGGCCACAUUGGGACUGAGACACGGCCCAAACUCCUACGGGAGGCAGCAGUAGGGAAUCUUCCACAAUGGACGCAAGUCUGAUGGAGCAACGCCGCGUGAGUGAAGAAGGCUUUCGGGUCGUAAAACUCUGUUGUUGGAGAAGAAUGGUCGGCAGAGUAACUGUUGUCGGCGUGACGGUAUCCAACCAGAAAGCCACGGCUAACUACGUGCCAGCAGCCGCGGUAAUACGUAGGUGGCAAGCGUUAUCCGGAUUUAUUGGGCGUAAAGCGAGCGCAGGCGGUUUUUUAAGUCUGAUGUGAAAGCCCUCGGCUUAACCGAGGAAGUGCAUCGGAAACUGGGAAACUUGAGUGCAGAAGAGGACAGUGGAACUCCAUGUGUAGCGGUGAAAUGCGUAGAUAUAUGGAAGAACACCAGUGGCGAAGGCGGCUGUCUGGUCUGUAACUGACGCUGAGGCUCGAAAGCAUGGGUAGCGAACAGGAUUAGAUACCCUGGUAGUCCAUGCCGUAAACGAUGAAUGCUAGGUGUUGGAGGGUUUCCGCCCUUCAGUGCCGCAGCUAACGCAUUAAGCAUUCCGCCUGGGGAGUACGACCGCAAGGUUGAAACUCAAAGGAAUUGACGGGGGCCCGCACAAGCGGUGGAGCAUGUGGUUUAAUUCGAAGCAACGCGAGAACCUUACCAGGUCUUGACAUCUUUUGAUCACCUGAGAGAUCAG